rnacentral:lncRNA from 1 species
AUGAGGCCUCACGGAUCAUAUUUGAGUUGCCAUGUUUCUUCCUGUAGUCUUCUUCCUAUAGGAAGAAUUUCUCUUAAAAGGUCAAGACAGAGGCCUCUGAUCUUCAUUAAUACUGGUCCAAAACAUGGCCCUUAUCUGUGCUUUGCUCAGGUUCAGGCUUCUCAGAGCUAUUCCACCUCCAGCAGGGACACAUUUAAAGCAGAAGCUCCCAUCGGAGUUUACCAGAACAGCGAGGCUGCUUUUCAAAUGCGGCUAUUGGAGACGAGACUUGGGGAUUCCUUCAAACAUCUGUCUAGACGUGUUAAUGUAUACUUUAAGCAGAAGGAGAAGACUGGGUCUGGUGGUUCUGGUCAGGCUAGCUUUGCAUCUGCAGUACUGGAGCCUGCCACUAGAGUGCAGAGGCAAGAAAUUAAAGAUAGAUCUUAUAUGGUGAAAGAUACUACUGAGGGAGCCUUCACAAUCAAGCCUGAGGAAGCAUCACUGUUCUCCAAAUAUUCUGGUUUACAGCUGUUCCAUAUCAGCUCACUGGCAACCAGGUUUGGCGAGUCCUACAACUACGUAGCCAAUCAUAUAAACUCUGUAUUUUCCAAGAAUCCAAUAAAACAAACCUAUGCGAAACUGCAAACACCUGCAGAUAUGGUUCGAAGAUGCAGAACGAGAGAGAGAAGAGUUACAAACCAACAAAAUAUAAUUUCAGAAACUGGCUCAGACACUUAUAAUUCAAGCCCAGCAGCAAGAGAUGGACACAAUACAGAUCUUUCCUGUUCUUGGGAAGAGGGGUAUCUCCACUUCGCUCGUCGUAUCAACCAAUACUUUGGGGCGAAAACAGCAGAAACCUUAGAAAAAUACAAGAAUAAUCAAAGCACAUAUUCUUCAAAACAUAAGCAGCCUACCCUAGAAAGCCCAGAGAACCCAAUGCCCCUCAGACCUAAAUCCCUAUUCCACAUAAGCAACCUCACUACGCACUUCGGAGAAAGCUACGCCUAUAUGGGCACCCACAUCAACCAUUACUUCAAAGGCUCUGCAGCCGCAGAAGAGGAAAUAGAGAGAGAUCCUUACAGAGGACAGUCUGAAUACACAGUCACUCCAGCGAGAGAAGCUGGGUUCUUUUUCCAGAGCUUUUUCAACCCCUCAGCCAUCCCCAGCAUUGUGGGCAGCUACCUAGGAAAGGUCUCUAGUGGUUCUACUGCUCCAGAGGCCAGGCUGGAUAGAGUGGUGAGUAUUACUCCAGUUGUUUUCUAG